UCAAACAUUCCUCAUAUGUUAAGUUUUUCAUUCCUGAGACCAUUCUUAUGAACCUCCUCUGCACACACUUCAGGGUUAGUAUGUCUUUCAUGCGAUAUGGGGCCCAAAACUAUGCACAAUAAUCUAUUUUCAGCUAAGCCUCCCUGCCUCCUGCAUUGAUAUGGAAAAUGAUCCCAUUUAUUAUGUAAAGCAACAGUUGAAUAAUAGUGUGCGAUGACCAAAAUUCCCUGUACUCUUACUAGCAUUCCACAUCUUCUCUAGGAUGCUGUAAGACCUAUGAAUUGAACCUCAUUACAAAGUAAACGAUUAAAGAGUGCAGCAUCCCAUUUCAGUGAAAUGGGAGCUUCUGUCUGACAUUUUCAACAGAAACUUAUUUUAACAAUGUCAGCAUUUAUCUGUAUCACCUGCUAUGCUUUUAGGCAGUGACAUGAUUGACAUUUGUACUGUUCGAAAGCCUACUGCAGUAACAUUGGGUGCAGAAGCUAUCUUGUGCUAUGUUUUGCAGUCACUCUGCAAUUUUUCUGCAAAACCACUAGGUGUCAGUAAGUAAAUGGCAUUAUCAUUUUCACAUCAUUGACGUAUGGCAGAAAGCAAGUAACAUCUUGGUGAGCAUAAAACUGAAAUCUAAGUGUGUUAUUAAGAUUAUGCCAUUUUACUGGAAAUAUAAUUAGUGAUCGAUCAAUUAAUAAAGCUAAACUUCAACAGUGUCUCCUCAAUCAUUGUUUGUUAAAUAUGGCAAGGAUAUGAUAAUGAUCCAGUGGCUACAAUUUUGAAAGCAGAGUUAGCUGUAGCCACUGUAAAUCCAACUUCUUUGUCUCUUUCCCUCCGAUGUCUGAACUAUGACUAUUGUUGCCAUAGAAUCUUGGAGCUCCUCCACUUAUGCUCCAUGGUAUGUGCUUUCUGUCUGCCGCAGGUCCUGCUAGAAAACAACCUUGGAUGUUUUUGAUCUAUCCAUGCACGUUUUCCCCCUCCUUUGAUCCUAUUAUUCUUGCCAUCCAUUCUUUUUACAAUCUAAAUACUGUGGACAUUACCAUCUCCUGUAUCAUGAGUUCAUUAAAUGUCAAAUUAAAAACCUCAAUUGGGUAACACACAAGUGUGUACCAAAUAAAACUGUUUAGGCAAAGGUUUGUUUUGUGGCCUGUAAAAGAAGCAUCUUGUAGGAUAGUCAAAUCAAUUGUUUUGGAAUAUGUAAUAUUUAACUUAAAAUUGCUUCCAUAAUGUUUCAACCUAUUCUCGUGAUUUAUCAACAUACAUAACAUGCAAACGAAUCAAUUGACGACCACUGGCCCCAAGAGUCUGCUUCACCAGUUGAUCGGAUCAUGGCUGAUCUGAUUGUGGUUUAAACACCUCCUUGCUGUCUCAUACCCAUAACCUUUUGACUCCUCCAUUAAUCAAGAUUUGAAUAUAUAUGAGCUGGACAGUAACCUUCUUGAUAUGUGAAGCUUCUAACAAAAUCUUUUACUAGGAUUUCAUGACCUUUUUACAAUAAACAAAAAUCUGAAAGUUAAUUAAAACCAAAACCAGGUGCCUCUUUUUUGAAGUUGAGCUUCAGGGAUGUGAGGCUCAGUCAUCAGAGAAAAGCACUAAACUGUAUGAAACUUCAAAAGGGGCUUUGCAGCAAAUAAUAUAAAAUUAUUUUUGUAAUCAAGAGGAUUUAAAAAUAUGCUGAAGCAUGCAGUUCUGUCUUAAGAACAUACUUUAAAAAAUCAAAUUCCCAUUUUGGGUUUUUGCCACCUUAUUUUCAAAACUUAGAUACUUGUUUCCUUUGGAUUGUAAGUCUUGCCAUAUGUGAAAAUCUGACCUAAAGUGCAAAAUGUCACGGAGUGAAGUCAUUCUUCUAACAACCAAUCAAUAGUUGAAAAAUCAGGAUAGCUAACUGCUUAAUGGUAAAGCUGAAUGUUUCACUUUUGUGUAUUGGAGUGCUAAUUACUUGUUGGUCUUAACUUUAAUUCAUGUACGCAUGUAUUUUUCAUAGGUGAGGCAGGGAUUAAAAACAUUUUCCAACUGGCCAACGUACCCACAAUUAUACGUGAAUGGUGAACUUAUUGGUGGGCUUGAUAUUGUGAAGGAAUUGGAAAAAAGUGGAGAGCUUCUUUCAGCCUUAAAAGGAGAAAAUGCUAGUUAGAAUUUUACAAAAUGCACAACCACCGUCAUACAUAAUAUGUCAAUUUUAAAAAAUGUUCGUUGGCAAUAAUGUGGUCUAAAGUCAGGUAAUAUAAUAGUGAAUAUAAAUCAUUUUUGAUGUUUUCUUGCUUCGGUAAUUCAUGAAUAACAUGGUAGCACAAAGUGAGCAAAAUGCAAAUAAGUUAGAACAGUAAAAUAUUAUACCUCUUAUUAUAAUAAAACAUAACUAUUA